rnacentral:ncRNA from 1 species
AUACCCGCGGCUGAUGAAGGCCGUCAUCAAAGCCGUGGACUUGGGAGUGCUGCCGCAUCAUCUUGCCGGGAGCGAAGAUCAGGUACCUCUGCCCUUACACAAAGUGUCAGUGAAAAAAGAAAAAAAUAUCUAAAUGCCUCGUCAUCUCAUUAGUGACGAGCAUGAAUGGAUUAACGAGAUUCCCACUGUCCCUAUCUACUAUCUAGCGAAAUCAACGCCAGGGGAACGGGCUUGGAUAAAUCAGCAGGGAAAGACGACCCUGUUGAGCCUGACUCUAGUUUGACUAUGUCGCGUGAGGGCAGCGCAGCAGAGGUUGGUUGCACUAUUUCUCCACGGGGCGCGGUGCCGUCGGGGCCGAGAAGAGCUUAAGAAAACGUCAAAUUUGUGCGGUUUUCACAAAGCCGUAAAAUGCUGCGCGUGCUUCCUAUUGCUCUGCAAUUUGUUGAUUUGGUAUUUUUCGAUGAUGCUGAGCAAUUUUCUAAUUAAACGCAUGAUUUAAGCACAAAAUUAAAAAGGUAAUUAUGCAAAAAUGAAUAAAAACUUAAUUAUCCCGUACUUCAAUAAUUUUCCUGAAGAGGCCCUGGCCCGGGACCAAAACGACAUAACCAUUUUUUUUGUUGCGACGAGUAGUUUUCGCAGUAUCGGAUUUGUCCACUUUUCGUAAAACACCCUGUAUAUAAAUAUGUGUGUAAAAAAGGACGCUAAAAUCACUAUAAGGUAAGCAGAAAACUUCAUAUAUUGUCUUCAAAUUCAUUCUAACUGGGGAUUUUUUAAAAAAGAGUAUAUAUUUUUUUAUUAUUUUUGUAGUCAUCCGUCAUCGCUGUCGACGAGAGUAGGCAGUUCAGGAGUUAACGGAGUUGUUGUGACUCCGUUGAUCGUAAAUGUCAUUCAGCCCGAAUGACAUUUGACUUGCCCGUC